rnacentral:tRNA from 1 species
CGCGAAGUAGAGCAGCGGUAGCUCGUCGGGCUCAUAACCCGAAGGUCGGUGGUUCGAUCCCACCCUUCGCAACAA